rnacentral:rRNA from 1 species
UAUGAAGGUCAGGCUGAAGACCUUACCCGAUUAGCUGAGAGGUGGUGCAUGGCCGUCGUCAGUUCGUACUGUGAAGCAUCCUGUUAAGUCAGGCAACGAGCGAGACCCACGUCCACAGUUGCCAGCAUACCCUCCGGGGUGAUGGGUACACUGUGGAGACCGCCGCUGCUAAAGCGGAGGAAGGAGUGGGCAACGGUAGGUCAGUAUGCCCCGAAUCUCCCGGGCUACACGCGGGCUACAAUGGUUGGUACAAUGGGCAUCUACCCCGAAAGGGGAAGGAAAUCUCUUAAAGCCAAUCGUAGUUCGGAUUGGGGGCUGCAACUCGCCCUCAUGAAGCUGGAAUCCGUAGUAAUCGCGUUUCAACAGAACGCGGUGAAUACGUCCCUGCUCCUU